rnacentral:lncRNA from 1 species
AGCAAACAAAGAUAUGGAGGAUGUUAUGAGAAGGAUGACGCUUGAUUCUAAUUCAAAAGAGCAUUUGGAUAGCAAAGAAAAGAAAAAAGAAAAGAAGAAAGGACUUUUUUAAUUCCACUCAUCAGUUUCUGUUGCUGUCCUGUUAUAUCUUCAUUCAUUCACCAUAUUUCCAAUCUGGUUGGAGAGGUGUGCGUGCGUGUGUGUAUUUAAUGGACAGAGAAUGUCAUUCCUUUACAUCAAUGUAUGACAAAAAAUUUUAUUUCAUUCUUUUCAUCGUCGUGUCAUUUGUCUCAUGUCUACCAUUUAUUUUAUUACUGUCUCUUUCUGACCAAUUUAAUUAUCUUCAUGAUCGUUACCCUGGGACAGCAUCAGAUGCCAUCUGUUAAGUCUUUGACCAUUGGAAAUUGCAACAGUGAGCAUACAGUUUACAAAUAUUUUUCCUUUGUGUGUGUUUUUGUGUUUAAAGCAAGUCAUUUGAUCUAAGAUGACAUGAACUAUUUGUAAACCUCAAUUGAAGGGACUUUGUGCCAUAUUUUCCAUCUCAAGUAGUUUUUGUUGUUGACUGUAAAAAAAAAGAAAAAAUCAGGAAUUCACAAUAGAAAAACUCUUCAGACAUUGUCAUUUGCUUGUUCUCAAUUGCACAAGAGCCAUUCACCAUCCACUAUUUACAAGUUUUUAUAAAAAUUUGUUUUCCAGAUUGUUGUAAUUUCUAAAGAAUUAACCAAAUUAAGAACAUAUUAUAUACACUUUUUUAUUGCUAUUAUCAAAUACAUUUUGGAAGUUGAGUUUUUUUUUAUACUUAAGUUUAUUAGGACACAUUUUGCAAUCAUGUACAAUAAAAUAUUUCUAUUUACUUACUGAGACAAAUUGGAAUGCGCUCAAGUGUGAAGCAUUUAUACUUGUAUAAGCUGUCUGUUUAUAUAUACAUAUAAAUAUAUAUAUAUAUAAAUAUACAUGUUAAAGAAUAGUUGUCUGGUGUUCAACAAAUAGUGUGAAUAUAUUAUUUCAUGCUUAUUUGAUGCAUUUUUUACUGUUCUUAUGUAAAAUAUUGCUAUAGUC